rnacentral:rRNA from 1 species
UACGUAGGGUGCGAGCGUUACUCGGAAUUACUGGGCGUAAAGCGUGCGUAGGCGGUUCGUUAAGUUCGUUGUGAAAGCCCCGGGCUCAACCUGGGAAUGGCAAUGGAAACUGGCGGGCUGGAGUAUAGCAGAGGGGGGUGGAAUUCCGCGUGUAGCAGUGAAAUGCGUAGAGAUGCGGAGGAACACCGAUGGCGAAGGCAGCCCCCUGGGCCAAUACUGACGCUCAGGCACGAAAGCGUGGGGAGCAAACAGG